GACGAACGCUGGCGGCGUGCUUAACACAUGCAAGUCGAACGGAAAGGCCCGGCUUUUGUGGGGUGCUCGAGUGGCGAACGGGUGAGUAACACGUGAGUAACCUGCCCUUGUCUUUGGGAUAAAUUCAGGAAACUGGGGCUAAUACCGGAUAGGAGCUCCUGCUGCAUGGUGGUGGUUGGAAAGUGUCGGCGGUUGGGGAUGGACUCGCGGCUUAUCAGCUUGUUGGUGUGGUAGUGGAUUACCAAGGCUUUGACGGGUAGCCGGCCUGAGAGGGUGACCGGGCACAUUGGGACUGAGAUAGGCACCAGACUGCUACGGGAGGCAGCAGUGGGGAAUAUUACACAAUGGGCGGAAGCCUGAUGCAGCAACGUCGCGUGCGGGAUGACGGCCUUCGGGUUGUAAACCGAUUUCGCCUGUGACGAAGCGGGAGUGACGGUAAUGGGUAAAGAAGCACCGGCUAACUACGUG
rnacentral:rRNA from 1 species